rnacentral:tRNA from 1 species
CUUUGAUCAGGUUAUGCGAUUGAAGGUUUUCAGUUUUCCUCGUAGGGCUUGUAGCUCAGUCGGUUAGAGCGCGCGCUUGAUAAGCGUGAGGUCGGAGGUUCAAGUCCUCCCAGGCCCACCAGUUCCGCUAUGCUGCACUUUGCUCUGAUAAGCUGAGGAGGCGCUCAGUGAGACUGAUCGUAAUCCCUUUUUGGAUAAUUCCUUAAAAGAAUUUAUUGCCUCAAUCAAUUUUUUCUAAAAGUGUUUAGAACCUCCAUAGAAACUUAAAGCUUUUUAGAGCAAUGAACUCUUCAUGAGAAAUUUGGACCCUUCGUGAGAAAGUAUUGUCUCUCCUUUUCAAUAAGGGACAAAACAGGGAAAAGAGCAGGCCAAUAUUGUGUCUCUGUUUGUUUUAAAAAGCCUCUGUUUUUUAGAAUAUAGCGUUUUUAAAAGAGCAAGAUGUGAGGGAGUUUUAGCUGUUUUAGGGGCCGUAGCUCAGCUGGGAGAGCACCUGCUUUG